AGAUGUGAGGGUGAACUGGCUGUGACAUCUGUCACCCCUUUGAUUGCCAGGGUUGAUUGGGCUGAUGUGGCCGGCUGGGCAGGUGUCUCCUUCUUCCCUCACCACUCCAUGUGCAUCCCUCUCAAAGCUGUGCUCUCGGUCAAAGAAGAGGACAACCUUCCCCACUAGAGGAGGACCAGUCUUCGGUCAAGGGUAUACAAGCAGCCAUGCUCCCCUGCUAGAACCUCCAAACAAGCUCUCAAAGUCAGGAACCAGGAACUCCAUCUUGGUCUCCUAUGCACUCGCAGGGACCCAAGUACUUGGGCCAUUUUC
rnacentral:snRNA from 1 species